rnacentral:tRNA from 1 species
CUUACCAGGAGGAUUUUGAACCUCUCCUAAGAAAUCAAAAUUCUUUGUGCCCUAACACCGCUUUGUAA